CCUACGGGGGGCUGCAGUGGGGAAUAUUGGACAAUGGGCGAAAGCCUGAUCCAGCCAUGCCGCGUGUGUGAAGAAGGCCUUCGGGUUGUAAAGCACUUUCAGUGGGGAAGAAAGCCUUGGGGCUAAUACCCUCGAGGAAGGACAUCACCCACAGAAGAAGCACCGGCUAACUCCGUGCCAGCAGCCGCGGUAAUACGGAGGGUGCGAGCGUUAAUCGGAAUUACUGGGUGUAAAGCGCGCGUAGGCGGUCUGAUAAGCCGGUUGUGAAAGCCCCGGGCUCAACCUGGGAACGGCAUCCGGAACUGUCAGGCUAGAGUGCAGGAGAGGAAGGUAGAAUUCCCGGUGUAGCGGUGAAAUGCGUAGAGAUCGGGAGGAAUACCAGUGGCGAAGGCGGCCUUCUGGACUGACACUGACGCUGAGGUGCGAAAGCGUGGGUAGCAAACAGGAUUAGAUACCCGGGUAGUC
rnacentral:rRNA from 1 species